rnacentral:rRNA from 1 species
UGAGGAAUAUUGGUCAAUGGACGCAAGUCUGAACCAGCCAUGCCGCGUGCAGGAAGACGGCUCUAUGAGUUGUAAACUGCUUUUGUACGAGGGUAAACUCGGGUACGUGUACCCGACUGAAAGUAUCGUACGAAUAAGGAUCGGCUAACUCCGUGCCAGCAGCCGCGGUAAUACGGAGGAUUCAAGCGUUAUCCGGAUUUAUUGGGUUUAAAGGGUGCGUAGGCGGUUGGAUAAGUUAGAGGUGAAAUACCGGGGCUCAACUCCGGAACUGCCUCUGAUACUGUUCGGCUAGAGUGUAGUUGCGGUAGGCGGAAUGUAUGGUGUAGCGGUGAAAUGCUUAGAGAUCAUACAGAACACCGAUUGCGAAGGCAGCUUACCAAACUAUUACUGACGUUGAGGCACGAAAGCGUGGGUAGCAAACAGG